UCAUGAAAUCUAGAAACGAGUUUAUUUUCUUAGGUAAAAAUAACUGCGUGAACCGUACGCCGCCACGGGAACCUUGCGCCAUCUUUUAAGACUAAAUUGUAUCAGUUUUUCUAGUUACUCUGCAGCCUCUAGAUGGCACUACGUGCUUAAAAGAUCUGUAAUGAAGCAUCAGUUGAAAAAAAGCUGCGAAGAGAUUGAUACGAACGGAUCCUUUACACGCAUAGGUAGUUGUACAAGGUACCUAGGUUUCGAAGAGAAAAAUAGGAUUAAGGACAUUUGCUCAAAAAAGGUCGACUUAACAGCAUGUAUAGCAGGAACGGAUCCCCUCAACUAGGCGAGGUAGCUGUUUGCAGGCGCCCCGUUUCAAAGGGGAGGCCAAUAAAUCAUAACCAUCAUCAUCCGCUCCUACUAAUUGUUGCACCGUUCCACUGUCAGUUGCUGUUUACCCGAGUACGUGCGCUUUCAAAAGCGUGUGAGCAUAAAAUUAUGUGCAAAGCUCGGCAUGACCGCCCCACAGACGUACCAGUUUCUUCGUGACGUUUGCGGCAACGAUACGUUACCGUGAGCUCGACUGUUCGAGGGGAAGAAGAGGUUCGCCUUAAGAAGAACGUCGGUGGAAGGCGACACGCGACAGGGACGCUGCUAAACCUCUCGGACUGAAAGAAAGCUCCCUGGCGGCCGUUCCUGCGGUGAGCGUUGGUGUGCCUCGGCGUCGUAACCCGGCGUAACCGAGCGAAUGAGCACAGCGAAUGAUGAAAGCGACUGCAAAGCACAGCGGGAAAUGAGAGACCCAAGAACGAUAUCGGAGACGAGGGUGCAGCGCAGCCGUGCGGCCGACAGCGGAGCAGAGCAUUGCGAAAGCCCGAGAAGGAAAGCGCAGUGCGGCGACAAUCGCUACGAGAUGGCGCGAAAGUAGCGCUCGCCAUCUGCGAAGUCUGGCGACGGCGGCUGCUGUGAAUUGCGCCCACGGAAUGGCUGUCGCCAAUCUCCAGGUUAGCGAGGCUGCCGUGCCGCACUUCGCUCCAUUUGCAACUUCUCGCACGAGGGACAUGUAGUCGACGCCAGCCAAUAUAUCACGAAGUAAAAACAGGUACCUCGCUCGCUCGCCAGCCACGACUUUGCUGAUGAACUGUGGGCCGCUCGGCAAGCCGAGGAAGCCGCCCGAUUCCAAGGAGUCGAGGCCAUCCCCUAGGCUGGGGUGCUAAUGGCCCAACCCCACCCAAAUCACCGGACAUUUACAAUAAGGUUUGCACUUGCACUCCAGGUACGACAAUUGACUAGAGGUCCAAAAGUCAUCAGGACAAAUGAUUCUCAAAUUUACGAAGGAUGUCUGACAUGUUUGUGAUGAUGAAGCAAUUAUUUCAAUAUAAGAUACAUAUUUGAAAAGGCUUCUUUUUUAUGUUGUUGGCAAUGCAUUACUAAAUUUUCUACCUUCUUACGCUCGU